rnacentral:misc_RNA from 1 species
UGCCCCUCACUUGCCAAUACGUCUAGAUCAGCCAGGGCGUCGGCAUGUGUAGCGUAUUAUGUUGGCCUCUCUCGAGAUAAGGAUACGAUGUCCCUUUAUCGGUUGGUUUCCUGUGUGUGCGGCCCGUUCGUUUUUUUGUUACUUUCGCAUCGUUCGGUGCAUUCUGGGGGUUGUGUUGGCUUUUGGUGGCUUGCUUGGCCUUUUGGCUUUGCUUGUUGCUACUUGUCGGGCUGCUUUCGGGAAUGUCGACCGUGGAGGUGCAUGAGUGGUGUUUGGUUUGUUACGUGUGGAUGGCUGUUUGCUUGUGCAACAACGUUCACGCUGCAUACCUCUUCAGUUUUGCGGCAAGGCUUGGUUUGGCUUGUGCAUAUUGUGGGUUUCCUGUGUUGCAUACCUAGUUGAUGGAAAAGUGUGGGUUUUACGAUUUUCAUUUUCGUCUUGCGUCGUUCUUUUGGCGUGGGAUGAACAAUGAAGCGAUCUUUAUGAUCCAUCGUGCUGUUGUGUUUGCAACAAUGAUGUGGCCUAUGAAGCAUCGUUUGGUCUCUUGUAUACGGAAGCUCAUUUGGGCUUGGGUCUUUAUAAGAUCUUCGUUACGCCCUUGUUAAGCGUUCUCGCUUCUCCUAAACGAUUG